GCGUCAGUAGCUCAACUGGCAGAGCAGCGGUCUCCAAAACCGCAGGUUGUAGGUUCGAGUCCUACCUGGCGCGCCA
rnacentral:tRNA from 15 species